rnacentral:lncRNA from 1 species
UGGGCGGCGGCGUGGGGAGGUCUCGGUGGUGACCUCUCGGUGUCGUGGCGGCUUCACGGUGGCUCGACGGAUCUGUCCGCGGCGCGGCCGGCUUCUCUGGCGUCGGCUCGCCUGUGGUCGGGCCGUCUCGACCUUCACCCCAUCUCCUCGUCGCCCGGGCGCUUCUCCCAUCAAUGGGCUGGUCCUCUCCCGGUUGCGGUCCAUCGCUCAUCUCGCGCCCGGUGCCGCAGGACCGAGCUCGUCUCGCACACGAUGCAGCAGGACCGAGCUCGUCUCGCACACGGUGCAGCAGGACCAACCUCGUCCCCUCUCGAUGCUGCAGUACCGAGCUCGUCUCGCGCUAGGGGCAGCAGGACGGGUCGGUGGAUGCCAGUUCUGGCCGACCUAUUGGGUCUCAACGCUGGGGGUGGCCUAGGGGCGCGAAAGGUGAGACCUUUCCGCUCGUCUCUUUCGUUGGGGUGCGGCGGGUCUCGGGUGAGGUGGUGUCGAGGUCUUGGAUGCUGAGGCGGCGGCCCUGGUGGUGGUUGCGCGGUGCUCUUGGGCAGAGCCCGUGCCUUGGUGCUGCCCGGUCACCAUGGUCGUGUGGUCGGCGUGGUUGCCGGGGUGUGGCGUUCGGUGGCGAUGAUGGUUGGCCGAGGUGAAAACCUGCUCUAUCUUUGGACGGACCGGCGGCGGCGAAGAUCGUUCCCUUCUUGAAGGCGUCGUCGCGGCUCUCAUUGCCCGUCAUGCGGCUCCGGGGGAAACUCUGAUCCUUGGAUCGGGCGGUGGCGGCGCUCCGGUGUCGUAUCCUUUAUGAAGGCACCGUCUUGGAGCGCAUGGUUCGUCAUAUGUAGUCUCACCUCUUCGGGGCCGUAGUUCUAGUGGUGGUGUUGCUGCGCUCAGCGCCUAUGUAUCAUGUCUUGGGUGUGUGCGUGUGUUGCGGUGGCGUGGCGUGUGUUUGUACUGGAUGCUUGUGGUUUGAUGCUUUAUAUAUAAAGCGGGGCGAAAGCUUUUUUCGUUAUAAAUAGAAAAAGAUAUCAGAGAGAGUAGCCAAAAUGCCACCAACUCAAAGUCGAGCAAGAUAACAGGAAUCAACACAAUUAAUACGAAGCGGCUGAGACUACCGAACAGGAACUAAAUCGUGGCGCUUUGGGAAACCAGGGAACGCCUUUGCACAGAUUGUAUGAUACAAUUCUGGAUCCAUCGGUAUGGUAUCUCGGCUAGGCGAUUAAAUUGGAUGAUAACACUAGGCAAGGAUUUACCCAAGUUUGGGCCCUUACGGUCGAGGUAAUACCCUACUCCUACUUAUAUGUAUUGCGAUUGAGGUGCGUACAAAGUAUAGGUGAAUACCAAGGGAUUGUGUGUAUGUUAUCGAUGACCCCGUCACCCGGCUUAUUGGUCAUGGGUUACAUAUCCUAUUCAGUUACGUCGGUGGAGGUUGUGUCCUCCACGUCCCAUUAUCUUCGCCUUCUACAACAAGUCCUCCGGAGUCUUCCAUAUAAUCGUCAUGGGCCGCCCAACGUGGCACAAGACACAACCAACCUAGGGGUCCUCAGCCGGCCCACCAGGCCGGGAACCGACAUGGUGAGAGACCCCUGGCCAGGACACCAUCAGUAGACCCUAAACAAGUCUCCAAACUUGACUGCACCUCGGUCAUGGCCGAAUUGCACGUCAUAUUUGUCACUGAGGUUGAAACUAGUUCAAUGAAGCUUUCCCAACAAUUCCAUCAUGCAGCCGGCCUCUGGCUGCUUGACUGCCUCCAAAGCGGUGCAAACCACCUCGGAAAUAUUUAUAAUCAGAAAUUAAAACNNNNNNNNNNNNNNNNNNNNNNNNNNNNNNNNNNNNNNNNNNNNNNNNNNNNNNNNNNNNNNNNNNNNNNNNNNNNNNNNNNNNNNNNNNNNNNNNNNNNNNNNNNNNNNNNNNNNNNNNNNNNNNNNNNNNNNNNNNNNNNNNNNNNNNNNNNNNNNNNNNNNNNNNNNNNNNNNNNNNNNNNNNNNNNNNNNNNNNNNNNNNNNNNNNNNNNNNNNNNNNNNNNNNNNNNNNNNNNNNNNCUAACAAGCACAAAAUAGGCACAACCAUGUUGUCCACUUUAUUACAAAAUUCGCACACUUAAGGAUUGGAAUAUGUUGGUGAAUGCUCACUUUUCUUCCGCAUUAUUGCGUGCCAAAGACAUCAUUAGCCUAUUCUUCCAUAUUAAAAAAAACACUUCAUGUAUGCAAUUGGCUUCCUACUUUCUUAUAGCCAAAUCAAUUAUAUGUAGAAAUUGAGUUUUAUCAUUAAAAAAUGGCUCAACAACAUCUGAGCUAAUUUUAACGAAAAAGCCAUUCUUGUAUGUGUUGGCCUUGUGGACACAUAUGUGACCGCUCACUAGACUGUCCACUCAAAACACCCUCAUCCAUACGAAGCUAAACUAAUAAACCAAAUCACCAAAUCCAUUUGCCAAGUCAACCAUUCACAUACACAUGUACGUACCACUAGUAUGUUCUUCCAAUUAACUAAUCAGAGCAAACUACCUAAUUAGCUGCUCAUCCCUCGGCAAGCUUAAUUAGGCCAGCUGGGCCAUUGCCAGUCAUCAGACACCAGACAGCAUCCAUCCAUCCAGCAAGCUAGGUGGCUGCAAGGUGGGACCCACUUCUUGCAGAGGUAGCUCAGGUGGGCCCCACCAGGCCACCCUAAUAGGCCUAUGAUGAGGCGGCGGCUGAUGAGGUGCACCAAAUUGAUUUACGUGACACGAGGGAAAAUGAAGGGAGGGGAACAGGCAGCAGGUAGUUCCUUCUUGGUUGCUCCUUGCUUGGAGCCCAAAGUCCAGACGUGUCAGGUCAUCCGGACCUAACUCCCCUCUGCCUCCUGCACACGUGCCGCCCACACACAAGGCCUCUUGUUUUUAACAGUGCACCUGUCGUCUCAAAUAUAUUUGGUACUUCUAUGUGUCUAUGGUGUGUACAGUGGAUAUAUUCAUGAUGAUGGUGAUCAUAUGUCGUUUCAUAUCAAUAUCGUACGUGCAAAAACCGAUAUGUUUUGCUUUCUUAAUAGAAGAAAUUAACAUGCAUGUUAGUAAUAGUACAUGUCCUUAAUGAGCGGAGAAACUGAAACGCACAUGGAGCACGAAGAUCUUUCUUAAAAGAAAAGGUUACAUCAAAACAACUCGGAGGUUGUCACAUGUACCGCGAUCUCUUGCGACCGGAUUUUUCUCUAUGCGACGAAGAAUUAAACUUCGCCCCGUACGUGCUAGCGCGCGUGCACACACGCUUCCUGUACUUGUGGGCUCUAUAGAUCCGCGAAUGCCGCUAUAUCGCGCCGGCUAGCUGCACUGUGGGCCUAGGGCCAGAUCAUCGUCGAUCGUCUUCCUCCACAUACCCGCCCCAUUGUUGUCGCCAAUGCCAUUUUGCCUCCACGCUUUGCCUCCUAUUUCCUCCAUUUUUCUUCCUUAUACUUUCUUCCUCGCUCCUUCUUCCUCCUCUUGUAUUCGUCCCGCCGCUCAGCUCCUCCACAUGUGAACAUGUUUAAAAAAAUGUAGCUUUCUUAGAUUUGAUCAAUAUGGGAGUAUUCGACAUCAAGAUAUUCAUUUAGAUCAGCAUAACUUAUACAACUAUGUGAUUCUCAUAACGGCCAAUAAACAACUGAUUCUAGUUCACUUGUUCAUGCAUAUUAUGCAUGCAUCACGCAUGCAUGCAUAUUACGGUAUGCAUGCAUAUACGCAAUACGUAUACUUGAUCCAUCCACCACUUGCUCAUGCAGUAUACGCACGUAGGGAAAAACAACAAGAGGCAACAAGACAACACACACGUACGCCAUCAUAUAUAUAUAUCUAAUUAAACAACGUACCUGCUUAAGCAAACUGAUUCGGUCCAUUGCCAAAAAAGUCAGAGAGAGACAGACGGAGAGAGAGAGAGAGAGAGAGAUUUAGAGAUUUAGAGAGAGAAACACAGAGGUCACUAGAGAGAGAAGCGGAGAGGUCGCUAGAGAGAGAAAGAUAGAGUGAGAAACAGAGAGGGUAGAGAGAGGUGAGAGAGAGGAGGCUGCGUCUCCCGCACACAAAGACUUCCUUUUUAGCAUUCCAUGCCGCCAUGCACGCAUCAUCCCACCCGGCCCCUCUAAACCCUUCCCUAUAAAACCCCCUCCUAUCCACCCCAACGAAACCUCAAAAACCCAACUCCUCCGCCGGCCAUUGCUAGCUACGCCUCUCUCCGGCAAGCUAAGCCUCGCAGACAAAGAAAGAGAAGAAGCUCAAGCUACGCGAUGGGGCGGUCGCCGUGCUGCGACGGGGAGGCGGGCGUGAAGAAGGGCCCGUGGACGCCCGAGGAGGACAAGCUGCUGGUGGACUACAUCCAGGAGAAGGGCCACGGCAGCUGGCGCCGCCUGCCCAAGCUCGCCGGCCUCAACCGCUGCGGCAAGAGCUGCCGCCUCCGCUGGACCAACUACCUCCGCCCCGACAUCAAGCGCGGCCGCUUCACCGAAGACGAGGAGAAGCUCAUCAUCCACCUCCACUCCCUCCUCGGCAACAAGUAAGUCCCGUGUCUAUUGUUUGUGUCUUCUUCUCCGACUCCGGCGCCGGUGACUGAUGGUGUUGGUUCAGGUGGUCGUCGAUUGCUACGAAGCUGCCGGGGAGGACGGACAACGAGAUCAAGAACUACUGGAACACGCACCUGCGCAAGAAGCUGCUCGGCAUGGGCAUCGACCCCGUCACGCACCGCCCGCGCACCGACCUCAGCCUGCUCGCCGGGCUCCCGGGCCUCCUCGCGGCAGCCGGUAACUUCGGCGGCGCCGGCUCGGCCACGGGCGCUUGGGACAUGAACGCGCUCAGGCUGCAGGCCGACGCCGCCAAGUUCCAGCUGCUUCAGGGGCUCGUGCGCGCGCUCACCACCGCCGCCGUGCCCGCGCUCGCGCCCGGCAUGGACAACCUCAUGGCACUCCUCGCCGCCAGUAACGGCGGGCAGAACGGCGCCGGCGGAGUCGACCAGAGCAUGCUGCUGCAGCAGUGCCAGUGGGACGGCAUGAAUAACCUACCGGCGCUGACCAACUCCGCGCCGGCGAGCGGCAUGCACAACAUCAGCGGCAUGUUCGACAGCUUCGGCGCCGGGGACGGGCUGAGCUCGACGGAGCUCGGGUGCCACGGCGGGGCGAGCGGGAGCAACGUGACCGUGGACGCGGUGGCGCCACCGCGCCCAAUGGUGGCCAACGACCGGGACUGCAACAACAAUGGCGGCGGCGGUGUGUCGUGCGAGCAGACGCCGGCGUCGAGCCCGUUCGACGGGCUGGAGAGCCUGAACCUGAUGGAUGACCUCAACACGGACGGUAGCUGGAAGGAUUUGCUAGAGUGAGUACCUGCUCCCAUUCCAUCAACUUUCUAUCAAAAAGAAAAAAACGCCCAUGCAUGCAUGUCACUUUUCCAUCCACCCAAAUAAUUUUUGCUCAUAUAUUUCUUAAAUAUUAUCUGUGCCUUUUCCUUAAUCCUAAUUUAUUUUAUAGUUGAAGUUGAACUAGCUAGGUCAUUUUACCAGGGAAUUAAUUGACACAAUACUUAUAGCUGAAAUGAUUAAUUCUCUUAUUUAUUUUUAUGCAGCCAAAUGUCAUGGCUGAACUCAAGUGAGCUGUGAUGGGUAGAUAGAAGAGAUAUGAUCAAGGAUGCCAAAAAUAAUCAGGAGGAGACUGAGACUAUUAAUUCUUGGAUUGGAUGCACUUCGGUCGAUCAAUACCGAAGAUGUGAAGUUUGUUUGUUGAUAGGGGGGCAAAGGUGGUUUAGUCCACACUUUUAGUCAUGUACAAAAAAGAACAGAAGGACAUAUACAUAUAUGUACACACUCACAGCAAUUAAUGUUCAUUUUUGUUUAAUUAGUUUCUUUGUUGUUUCCUUUUUUUAUGAGGUGGGGAAUAUAUGUAAUAACUAGCUUGUGACAUAAAUUGAAAGCAGCUUCUUUUUUCCAGACAGCAAAGUAUGUGUGUGUGAGUGUGACUAUAUAAUCAUCGUCUUUAUUCCUUUGGUCUUGCAUAAUGACGCAGGGUUUAGUUAAUUUGUUUGAACUUUCUCUUGCGUGAAGAAGCUAAACUCGGGUCGUCAUUUGAUUGGAUUCUGAUUAUAUUUUAAUCCCACGAUGUUGGUCUUGAGAGUCCAACAUUAGUCUUCACUGUGAUCAAUCUCUGUAUGUACUUUGCGACAAUAAUUGUAUGGCUACACACAUAUGGUUGAUAGUCAAAUUUGCAUCAUAUGGACUACUGUAUUUUAAUUAUCUAAUCAGAGAAGACAUAGUCUGCACUGUAGGCUUUCCAUUUUGAAUUAGGGUAUUGUACAUAAAUAGUAGAAGAUAAGUUCACUUUCAUGUUUCAAUUAAACCAUAUAUAUGUUCUAACUAAUUAAGAAAGACAAUUGCAUGCAUAAUAUAUAGCUUCAAGAAAAUUUAGAAUGUUUGCUCUAUAUAGCUAGCUUUGAUUAAUUCCUCUGAGUGUGGGGUCUUCUCAGCCAGAACGAGGUUACUUGUUGGAUGAGGAUUGACUAGCAGACACACACAUCACUUGUACUACUGAAAUUAACCAGCAGGGGACAUGCAUGCAUAUAUAUGAUAGCAUGCAAACGGUAUAACACUAUAAAAUGAGUUAGUUGGAGUUGGACAAGGACGUGUAGCGCUCAAGCUCUAGCUUGUCAAAGUGGAGAAAGUUACCUCAUUAAUCUUCUAGAAGUUCUCCACACUAUCAAUGACGACCCAGCACGAAAAUCAAGGCAAAAGAAACACUAUCUUCAUCAAUCUAUCUAGCUAAUCCAUGGUUAACCAGAUUCAACUUGAUACUAGGACUUAUGGUACUCUAAUUGAUCAAGCUUAGCUAAUCCAUUACCAAUAUCAAAGCUCAUCAAUCAAUUCAUUUAGUUUUCCAUGUGGCAGUAGUUUUGACGCGCAAAUCAAUCAAAGCAAAAGAAGAACUAACUAAACAUCCAUGUCGAUCACCGGUGCGUGUCCUCGGGGCAGUUUGUGACAUGUCUUGUUCAUGUGUGUGCGUUCCUAUCUAAUUAGCUAGCUUAGUUAGAUUCCUUUUCGUGAUUGAUGGGGCAGUGGACGCAAAAAAAUAUCCAUCAUCGGCAGCUAGCUGCUUGAGUGCACUUUUAGUUAAAACCACAGCUACUUGAUGGAUGCCCGCAGCCUCACAUUACUCGACAAUAAUAUGCUUUUCUAUGUGUAUAUAUGAAUAUGUUUUUCUCUUGGUCAUGGACCAUAUAAGUCACGGAAUUGGUUAGACAGUAGGUAGGGGGCUCGUUUCCGGGCAUCACAAGCCAUUGACCCGCCUCAGCUUGCCCUGCACCUGUAUAUGCAUGCACUGCUCUGACUGGUCUGUCCUCUAUGCUCACAACCUAUAGCUUAAUUAGCAUGUAGCAUACCCUUUUGAUUAGCAGAUAAGCUCGCUUUAUCCUCGAAAAGCUCGCGGGCUUUUCCGAUUUGACACAGUGGUUAGAGCUGUUAGAGUGCUUAAACCUGUUUUCUUGCAAUGGCUAUCACUUUUCCCCGUGAACAGUUUGGGCAGUUUUAAUUUCUCUUUCAAGUUAAGCAGAAGGCCGGGGCCACGUUAAUGAACGUACAAUCAAUAUUAGUGUUAGUUUAUAUGAUACUGUGUUGAUGGACAGUUUUUUAUAUCAUCACUGUCAAUUGUUUCCAAGUUGAUGAAAAAAAAAUACUACCUCUGUCCCAUAAUAUAAGAGCGUUUUUCACGCCAACCGCAUGUGUGCGUACCUUGCAUCCAAGCUCGGAAUUAAUGGCCUUCCGAGAAACUUCCAAGUGUAAGAAUGAUACGUGCAUGCAUACGUGACCUGGAUCUCGCUUUCUGGUCGGGUGAGAUUUCGACAUGACCAUGCAUGCAUGCGUUCACGGCAGAUGACAAAUGGGCUACGGAUAAUUCGUUCAACACCAGGUCCACGCUGGCUUUCAUUUCUUUCAUUUCAUACGUAUGUGUGCAUCUACCCCUUACCCACUAAUUAACUGAACUAGCCAACGAACUAAUUGCAUGAAGAAGAGAUGGAACACUUCAGCUUGGCUCUAGAAAGGCCCUUCAUUAUACAAGAAAAAUGAACCUAUUGUCAAGAUUUAUUAGGCAUGAUCAGAUUUUGGUGGCGUUGCAUCUCACUGCUUAAUAAUAUACAAAUGCUCAUUAUUUCCAGAUUCUCCUAAAUAUUCCUCAGCUAAACCAGAAUGUAGGCAGAAAGCAAAGUCAGAAACAAAUUAACCAACUAAUAGUUGAUGCUUCACCACAAACUAAUUAACUAGGAUUAAGCUAACUCGAUCUGCAUCCACCUGAAAAGAUUGAUGUGUGCCAGGAGACCUGGAUCCUCAGGACUCUUAGCAACAGGCCACCUAUGCAAUGGUGUCCACAAGUGUACGGUGACAUGCACAAAGAUUUACCUAACCCAUGAAAAAAGUACCAUGCCCGAGAGCACAACCCAUAUGAUGGCUGCAGCGCGUGGUGGUCAACUGGGCAUUGUGAGUCUGACCAGGCACCAACGCAUGUCAAACUGAGACUUUUGCUGCUGCACAAAACUAAUCAAACAUUAAUUAAUCAGUUUAAAACAUGCAAGACCCAUGAAACUGUGCGGCUUUUGGGAGGUGUGGAAAGGAGGGACCUAAUCAAUUCCUACUCAUCAGAAAGAACACUGCUCCUUGACAUGGGCUGACCAACCGGACAGGAUUUUGAUUUUGACCAGUUAACUAUCUAAGUCGGAUUAGUUGCUCAAAAAAAACUAUCUAAGUGAGACUAGUUGCUCAAAAAAUAAAAACUAUGUAAGUGAGAUUAGUUGCUCAAAAAAAAAACUAUGUAAGUGAGACCAGUUGCUCAAAAAAAUCUAUGUAAGUGAGACUAGUUGCUCAAAAAAAUCUAUGUAAGUGAGACUAGUUGCUCAAAAAACAAAUCUAAGUGAGACUAGUUGCUCACUCGUGGUCUCUCAAAGUUCUCAAAUGUUACAUACGGAUUGCAUUGGUCACUGCAGAUCAUGUGGUUACACUUCUUGUCUCAGACAAACUGGACAGUAAUUCAGAGGAAGAAGGCAGAGUUUACUUCUGCCCCAGAGCGCGCGUGCAUACGUCGUCUCAGAUGGCGACACGUCGGCCGUCGAUGUGCGCGAUUAUGAAAAUUGUACUUCCUGAUGGACCAUCUAGUGGUAAUUAAGCAGCAUUGCCCAUUUGGUCAGCUGUGCGGGUUAAUCAGCAGCGGUGGCGGUAACCAAUGAAGGCGAUUACCCACGUGGAUGUACUGCUUUGACCGGCUCGCUGCUUUGAUCGGGUCAGUGCCUUCCUUUGCACAGCCUAAAGCCACUUUUUGGUGCCGCUGCUGUCAGUCAGAUCAUCAUCAGUAAGAAAACGUGGGUAAGUAGACAAUUGGCUUGUCCUGUUUGAUAAUCAUCACAAUCUCAAGUACUUGGAAGACCGGUUAAUUGAGCGUACGGUCUGCUUAGCAAGUGGCAGACCAAUCAUUUCACCGAGGAAUAUAUCAUAUAUCACAUUACAAAGGCCCCAGUUCUAUGGACUUGUCUCCGGUUUGUCUCUCAGCCAGAAUAAACAUAUAUUCCUAUGCAAAUCUAGCAAGAAAAAUGGUCACUCAUCGUCUUCCAGGAAAUUCACCUCACGAUGGUCACGCCUUUUUCUUUUUCACAGGUUAAACUAGGAAAAAAAUAUUAAUUUUACUGCAUACAUGAUAAAAUAUUGCAUCUUAAAUUGUUGAGCAGUUAAAUGUAGUAUAAAUGAUACCCAUGAACGAGUGCUUGAGAGGAUAACAAAGCGGAAACGAAGCCUUGCCCCACAAGGGACGAUGGCAAGAUACUUAGUAGGUAAACCAUGGACCUAUAAAGGAACAACCACAUACCUACCUUGCGAUGGAUGCGGGGAAUAAUGCUCUGUUCCAACCUAAAGCCCUCUGGCUAGAUCUCACUCUCAAUCUCCUUGCAUCAUCCAUCGAGAAAAAAAUUAAAGGGGGGCAAAUGUCACUCUUUGAAAAUGCCAUCUAUUGGUCGACACAUCAAAUUCAUAUUUUUUGUAAGCUCGAAAGACAGUUUCUGUGGAAAAGACAUAUAGUUGAUCUGCCUUGUAACAAGAAAAACUUGCACUAGGGCAUGAAAAGAACACCUAAUAAAACUUUAAGCACCAGCUUAAUUAACCAACUCGUCCUCUAUGGAAAGCAGAGAACCAUGCAGGCACCCAGCUCUCCUUAUUACAGCUCCUGGUUCUUACAGAAGAACCACCAAAGCGAAUACAACUUCAUCGCAUAAUCUCUUGUCGACGAAUAAUGGGGAAAAUCAUCAGGCAUUACAAAUACAGCCGUAACAACAUCGCCGUAAACUAAAUUAGCACUCAUCGUAGUAAAAGGAAAGGUCUUACGCAAAGAAAAGGGAAAGUGCUAUAGUUCCUCGUGUGAUAGAAAGCACGGUUCGGGUAAUUGAACAGUAACAACGGAUAACGAUCGAACAGUCAUCAUCAUCAUUGACCACUCAGCACAGAUCAUCAUCAUCAUCAUCAUCACCAUCAUCAUCUUGAUGGAUCAAAAAGGUGUUCCGAUCCUUCACGUGGUAAAACGGCCAGUCAGUUCCAAGUUACGACCCCUAGUUUGUUAGUUAGCCUGAUCAUGCAUGCGCAUUUACCAAACCUUUUCCUUUCACGCCUCCGAUCAAAAGGUGAUGCGGUUCAUCAGAAAUUUUACCGAGCAGAGACUAGGAUCGACCGGCCGCAUACAGGGACAAGCAAACGCAGCCGAUGAAACAGUUGAAUGAUGUGUCCAGGCUUGUCAAGUUGUGCAUGUUGACUUCAUCAAACCGUUUGUUGCUUAUCUUGCCGGCAAGGGUUUGCUUGCAGAGAACCAUCAGCCUGCAAAACUUUGCAGCAACUGUUUACAUAUUUUUUUUUUCUUUGGGUGAUGUGGAGGUGAACUCUGCGACAUGGCAUGGAUGUACAAUGUAUGUAAAAAAUAUGUAAAUCAGCCUGUCUCUUUCUAUUAGUGGCUUCUGUUUGGUUAGGCGGUUCCUGUCUUAACGAUGAUAUAUAUUCAGCUACUCUUAACGGCAUGCUCAGGAGUAGGACCAGUUGGUUCGUGUUAACUUUGCAAGCCUGCCAGAGUGGUGAGUACUACAUAGACAUAUGUAGUGCUGAAUUAAGGACAAGUUGUGCUAGGGCGUUCACCUUUUGGGUGGUGAACCGUAAGGCAUGACGAUGACACAAGAAAUGCCUUGUCAAUGUCGAUCAACACACGCAGUAGCUCGUCGUGGUCCAGCCGCGUUUCGUAUGUACGUAUGUAUCUUGUGGUCGGCAUACUAUCAAGACCUGGUGUAGAACUGGAGACGGCAAUUAUUUAAUACUCCCUCCAUCCAUCCCAAAAAGGUUGUCUUAGAUUUGUCUGAAUACAAAUGUAAAAUGUGUCCAGAUACAUCUAUAUCUAUAUCUAGAUAAAUCUAGGACAAGAGGUGGCAUAUGUUCUCAUUCAUGAGUAAUGCAUAUUUAUUCAGAUGUAAGAGAAUUACACGUUAUUUAAGACUGGAGUGAGCUAAAAAAACCUUGGAUAGCAGCCACUGACCUUGUGAAAGUAACAAGCUAGCCAAGCAGCAGGUGGUCCGGAACUGCGAGCCACAGUAGUGGACCACGCAACUGAAGCUUACGACAGACCACGGUAUCUUGUGAUCAAGUGGCCAAUGCAACAGGAGGCAUAUAUGAGUUGUACGUAAUUCAAGCACCAAGGAUGUCCAGGGAAUGUUGUGAGCACUCAUUCCCCAAGGAAGCCAGGCCAUAUUGACACAAGAUGGUAGACAGAUAUAUCCAGACAGGUAACCCGAGUUCAGCUGCUUGUCAGUAGAAAUCUAACAGAAAUAACAGAGAUGGGCAACAACCAUGUCAGUAAAAAAAUGUAGCAGAAUGAGAUGCAGCAGAAGCAGUGUCGAACUCAAGAGUUAGCCACUAGUUUACUCAAGCUGUGAUUACUGCUACCAGGCGACACAAAAUCACCAGAGGAUCCAAAUUACAUCCAGCAACUCAGAACUACAAGCGGGAGCCGAAUGAAUAUUCACACGUCUAAGCCAGCGUUAGCUCAUUGUCCACGAGCGAGCAAUUAGUGUCCAAGUACUCAGGGGCGUUAUGUACAUAUGUUGUUCGAACCUACAGUAUGUCCCUAAUCAAGUCCAGAAAUGUACAACAGAAACACGCAGCCGAUGGAUGGGGCUUCUCACGACUCCUGGUUCGCCUUGUUCCCCGCCAGGAUGAGGGAGAUCUCCAGACCACGGCUGAAGGCCUGGUUGAACAGGAUACGCGACUGGAAGGUGGACACAAAGGGGAACCACGAGAAGAACACGAUGGGCGCGAAGAUGACGGCGCCCAUCCCAGCGUCGUACAUCCGGGAGAUCUCGCGGACAGAGUCCCACAGCCCGAGUGUCUUCACCACGCGCCUCCAUGUGAUGGCCAGCUGCCAUGAGAAGCGACAGGUUAUGAGGCAUGCAGCGGAAUGCACCCACCAAGGCAGAAGGUACAACAAAUGUAGAAAAUAGACAAAGGAAGACCGUUGUACUUACACAUAAGAUGCACCAUCCGGUUGCUAAGAAUGCUAGCGCACUUGCAAACAAAUCAGCAAUUGUGAAGUCUGUAAAUCCAAUCAGGCAUGCAAUUGCUGCAAUGAUGCCAAUUGCAAGGAGGCCCUGUAGAAACCGAAUAAAUAUCGGCAAGGCAGUUGACUUCCUCGGAGUUGCGGUGAAAAGCUGAAGCACAAUAGAACUAUCUUAGACAAAUUGGUUCAUAUGGUGCAGAGUAGAUGAAAAUAUCAUGAAUAAUAUAACAAACCUUGAAUAGGAGGACAAUAACAAGAAGUACAAUCCACGAGAAGCCAUAAAUCUGACCAGUAACAGAAGGCAUUUAGAUUCGUCAGAGAAUAGAAAUGACAGACUUGGUAGGAACAUCAGGGACCCAUUAGCUCUUGCUUUAAUUUGAAGAUGAAAAUAAAUGUGCUUGACAUCAAGCUUUUUUUUAUUCAACUUGCACAUCAAAACAGAACUCAUAAAAAAAAACUAUGGAGUCUGAUAUAUUGUAAGAUCAGUUUGUACCCAACCACAUUUUUGUGCUCAAAGUAGGAGACAGACCUAACAGACUACUGCUCAGUUACGGUUAUGCAACCAAUGUAAACAUAAGAAUGGUGGAUAAGGGUCCAACAUGAAGAGAUGAAAAAGGAAUACAUACAAUGUAAUUGAACUAUAAGAAAAUAUUAUAUUUGGUGUAAAGAAGCAUCCAAAGAGUCAGUCUAACGAAGCAAGUGAAAAAUUGUACUCUACAGAACUACUGAAGGAGAGAGCUCUUCACUUACUGCCAGAGAUGUAUUAUGUCCAGUAAUUUUAAGCUUGUACACAAUGCCAUACUGGAACAAGAGAAAUCUGAGGCUCAGGAUAGUCUCAAGGAUUCGUCCCCUAAAAGUCUGGAUAUGUGCCUGUAUGAACACAUUACGGAAGUAAUACCAAGAACAUGUAUAAGUCAAAAGAGCAAGAAGCACAGGGCUUAAACAAAUAGAUUUUCACACACAACAUCAUGGUUACUGACCUGCUCCUCAUCCCACCAAGAUUCCCAACUAUUUUCGCCCUUCACACCAACUCCACCUUUAUAAAAUAACCAAUUUGUCCAGUCAUCAAAGUCCUCAACAGUUCUGACAUUCAAAAUGCAAAUCGGUAAAGGUACAGCCAAAAACCAAUUACAUCGAUGCAACGUGCAAUAGCUAAUGCAUCUUAUAUUUAUAUUUCUAGGACUAGAAUGAUGAGUGAGCAGGUAGUAUAAGAGCGUAUAUAUAUAAUUAUCCUAUAUUUCUAUAUGUUUGAUCAUAGUAGUGACUGCUCUAUUUUCUACAAAGGGGAAAAUAAGUGAACAAGCUCAGUUUCCCAAUCAGUGAUCAUCCUGCUUGAAUGACAACAAAUCUAAAGGGAAAAGAUAGGAUUGGUGAACAUACUUUUGCCACUCGAAACCAGAAGGGUUGAAAAUGUAUGGCGCAAAGAGCCAGGAUAUAACCAUGAACCAACUACUGAUAGUCAACAGAAUAAAGGACGAUGACCCGCCCUUCGUGUAGCCAUAAGCAAUGUAGACAAUAAGCAGGAGAGCAACCUCAAGCCUGCAAUAAUAUAGCCAUCAGAUUGGUCACCAAGUAAUACUAGCAAGAACACUACAUCUGGAAUUGAAGAUUCAAUGUGUUGCGUUGAGUCAGAUCCCUGGAUGGGGGGUGGUGUUUUGGUGUUCAUCUUUUUUUUUUUUGCACAGGUCAAAAUGCUUAAGCUUUGCCACUAAAAAUUGACAUUUGUAAAAAAACAUUUUUAAUACGCAGGAGCCAAAGAUACUGUGAAGAGGCGAAUUGGAUUUCUGGGGCAGAACUGACUCUUUAAGACAUUAUUACAAUUGAUUGGCGUUUGCCGAAGCAAAUCAUGAAACAACAGUAUUUGCCAACGAAAACUGCACAACUGCCGUCACUUGGUGCAGCACACUAAACAAUUAUAAUAAUAAUAUUUCAAAAUUUAGAAGGGAGGGGUUGUGAGCAGUUUUAUUUGUACUUGGAGAGAAACAAGAGAACAUAGGCUCGGUUAAUUUCCAAAGGCAAAUAGGAUUUCUUCCCUUUUAACUGCUAAUUUUCCAAACAAGAAAAAUUUAACUGCUCCAGUAAUUUCCAGCAUAAUUUUGCAGAGCCCAUCAACAGAGUACUUAUUUUAUGGCGUUUUGCAGCAAAUGCUAACAAAUUUUGCCUUCGAAAGGAGUUUCAGAUUGAUCGCCAAUGACUAAUGUCAACAGAAGGUAUACAAUCAGGUUAUAAAAA